CCUACGGGUGGCAGCAGUGGGGAAUAUUGGGCAAUGGGCGCAAGCCUGACCCAGCAACGCCGCGUGAAGGAAGAAGGCUUUAGGGUUGUAAACUUCUUUUGUCAGGGAAGAGUAGAAGACGGUACCUGACGAAUAAGACACGGCUAACUACGUGCGAGCAGCAGCGGUAGUACGUAGGUGGCAAGCGUUGUCCGGAUUUACUGGGUGUAACGGGCGUGUAGCCGGGUUGACAAGUCAGAUGUGAAAUCCUGCGGCUUAACCGCAGAACUGCAUUUGAUACUGUUGAUCUUGAGUACUGGAGAGGCAGACGGAAUUCGUGGUGUAGCGGUGAAAUGCGUAGAUAUUAGGAGGAACACCAGUGGCGAAGGCGGUCUGCUGGACAGCAACUGACGGUGAGGCGCGAAAGCGUGGGGAGCAAACAGGAUUAGAUACCCCGGUAGUC
rnacentral:rRNA from 1 species